AGCUCCCAGUGGCCUAAGUGGUUAGAGCAUCCACCUUUGAUGUGGGAGGUUGCAGGUUCAAACCCUAGCUGAGUCA